rnacentral:rRNA from 1 species
GACGAACGCUGGCGGCGUGCUUAACACAUGCAAGUCGAACGGAAAGGCCCUGCUUUUGUGGGGUGCUCGAGUGGCGAACGGGUGAGUAACACGUGAGUAACCUGCCUUUGACUUUGGGAUAACUUCAGGAAACUGGGGCUAAUACCGGAUAGGAGCUCCUGCUGCAUGGUGGGGGUUGGAAAGUUUCGGCGGUUGGGGAUGGACUCGCGGCUUAUCAGCUUGUUGGUGGGGUAGUGGCUUACCAAGGCUUUGACGGGUAGCCGGCCUGAGAGGGUGACCGGCCACAUUGGGACUGAGAUACGGCCCAGACUCCUACGGGAGGCAGCAGUGGGGAAUAUUGCACAAUGGGCGGAAGCCUGAUGCAGCAACGCCGCGUGCGGGAUGAAGGCCUUCGGGUUGUAAACCGCUUUCGCCUGUGACGAAGCGUGAGUGACGGUAAUGGGUAAAGAAGCACCGGCUAACUACGUG